UAUUGAUUUCUCAACUUUUUGAAGAACUAUAACAUUUUGGACUUGUAUUAAUAUACUACCAUUAUUUGUCUAAUACAUUUCACUCGAAAUUCAUAAUUAUUUCAGACUACCCCUGAUAAAUAAAGAUCAAACAUCGAGCACUCUUUACAAUCAUCGAUUUCUUUCUUCACUUGAUUUUCCAACAAAUUUUAUAUAUAGACUCUCAUCUUAAGAAAAAUCUCAAUCUUCUAUAUCAGUUCGAGUAACAAUAUAAAAAAAAUAUGAGAUCUAUGUCAUGACAUUCUAAGUUUGAACUUAAUAUCAGAACUAUCAAGCUGUUAAUAAACUUGAGAUAUCUAGACUUUCUUGGCAUUAUCUACAAUAAAACAACCUACUGACAAAAAUUAUCAGGCUAUGAUGAUCAGAUUAGAUCAAAAUUUAUAGCAUCCUUUCAUUAUCAAUAAAAUCCUUCCUUAUUUGCAACUAAUGUAUUCCAUCAUAACUUUUGAUUUAAAGGUUUAAUAUUUCUAAUCAAUUUAACCCAUCAUGCUUUUGCUGCGCACUUUGAUCUUAAUUUAUCAAUUUAUAUAAUUAUAUCAAAGAUAAAAAUAUCUUUAUAUGUUAGAUCAAUCCAAGAUAGAUCUAACCUUCAAAUUUCAUAUAAAACUUAGGGC
rnacentral:lncRNA from 1 species